AGGAAGAAAAAAAGUUUCAGCUUAACAGACUUAGAGGAGGGGAAUCUGUCAAGUGGUUUUAAUAUCACUGACAAGGCUGAAGGGCUUUGGGAAAGACACUACCCUGAACGCAGCAGGGCUAACGCUGGCUCCGUUGGUUUUGAUUCCAAAACAUAACGAGACACAAUCUAGUCUGGUCGGAAGAAGCAUCCCUGCCUUCCCCUUUGAGAUCCUGCUGAAGCCCUCCGUGGCCCCUCCAGCCUCAACUGAGUUCACACUUCUCCUGGUUUGAUAUGGUCUUCAUGAGUUUUAAGGGGGAAAAAAUCAUCACCUGAUGGCUAAGGCCCUAGAGUUGAGCUUCUCUGCACCUGGAUUCAAAUCCUGCUUGAGAUAUUUGCUGGCUGGUGGGGAUACUAGAUGAGGAAACUGAGGCUUACAGAGUUUUGCACAUAGUC